rnacentral:rRNA from 1 species
GACGAACGCUGGCGGCGUGCUUAACACAUGCAAGUCGAACGGAAAGGCCCUGCUUUUGUGGGGUGCGCGAGUGGCGAACGGGUGAGUAACACGUGAGUAACCUGCCCUUGACUUUGGGAUAACUUCAGGAAACGGGGGCUAAUACCGUAGGGGAUCUCCUGCCGCAGGGGGGGGGUGGGAAAUUUUCGGGGGUUGGGGAUGGACGCGCGGCAUCUGAGUUUGUUGGUGGGGUAGUGGCUUACCAAGGCUUUGACGGGUAGCCGGCCUGAGAGGGUGACCGGCCACAUUGGGACUGAGAUACGGCCCAGACUCCUACGGGAGGCAGCAGUGGGGAAUAUUGCACAAUGGGCGGAAGCCUGAUGCAGCAACGCCGCGUGCGGGAUGACGGCCUUCGGGUUGUAAACCGCUUUGGCCUGUGACGAAGCGUGAGUGACGGUAAUGGGUAAAGAAGCACCGGCUAACUACGUG